rnacentral:rRNA from 1 species
AUGGACGGUUGCUGGCGGCUCCCCGGAGGCCACGGCGGCGGCGCCGCCGGCCGCGUCGUCCGCGUGCACUUCCUCGACGCGGAUGCCACCGACGACUCCGACGAGGAGACGAACCAGCCUCAGCGACGCGGCGCGCGACGGUGCGUGCGGGAGAUCGGACUGCCGCGCGCGUUCUCUCGUCUUCCGUCCGCCGCGGCGGGUGCGGUGAGCAGCUCCUCCCACUGGACGCGCGACAAGAGGUUGAGGGCGGCCGCGGCCGGCAAGAAGCGCACGUUGGUGGCGUGCGGCGGGGAUGAUUGGUCCGCGGGGACUUGGUCGGCCCGGCAAUUGCGCGGCGUGCGGCGCCGGCCCUGGGGCAAGUAUGCGGCGGAGAUCCGCGACCCGAAGCUGGGGCGGCGCGUCUGGCUUGGCACCUUCAACACCGCCGAGGAGGCCAAGUCCGUCUAUGACUCCGCCGUGCUCCGCCUCCGCGGCCCGAGCGCAGUCAUGAAGUACACCGCCCCCUCCCCCUCGCCGCCCCUCUCCACCGUGACGGCGUCCGCGCCGUCGCCGUCGACAUCCGCGGCCUCUCCCCCGUCGCCCUCCACCACGGCGGCCCCUCCUCCGUCGCCCUUCGGCAGGGCGGCCUCUCCCCCGUCACCCUCCACCACGGCGACCUCUGCCCCGUCCCCCAUCACCACGGCGGCCUCCCCCCCGUCGCCCUCCCAGUCGGCGACCACCAGCUGGUCCUUGGUGAACGCGGACGAGGAGGUGACGGCAGCGUUCGGCCUGGGACUCGUCGACGAGGAAACCUCCCUGAACAACCUGAUGCAGUUCUGCCUCCCCGCGGCGUGCAGCAGCAGGUGGGACCCCUCGGCGGACUUCGUGGAGCUGGCGGACCUCGACGACCUCUUCGCGCCGGAGCCCCUGGCGGCCUGA